GGGCCCGUAGCCUAGUACGGAUCAGGGCAUCAGCCUGCGAAGCUGGGGGUCGCCGGUUCAAAUCCGGCCGGGCCCG
rnacentral:tRNA from 1 species